rnacentral:lncRNA from 1 species
GAAGGGCCAAAAGAGACAGAGGCACUGUGCAGUUAGCUGGCCUUGCAGGGACCACUGUCGGCUCCAAGCGUGCUCCGCCCCUAGGUGGUGCUGUGUAGUCAGCAAGUUCGGGGAAAUAACCAUUGUUGGAAGCCAGGAAUUGCUCUGCUGUCUCUGUGUACGUGGGACUUGCUGGGUUUCUCUCACCCACAUUACUGUAGAUGAACUUGCGGGUGUUCCCAGGUGUUGGCCCCUGUCUUCUCCAUGCUCCUUGCUCUUACCUGAUGGUCUAGGUACUUUCCAUGUGAUGGAUGCUCCCAAGAAAUCAACGAAAUGGACAGCGUUAUCUUUGGUGUACAGAUGAAAACAAUGCAGCUAAGAGAAAACAAUACAACUAAGAGUGAGAAGCUCAAAGUCUCCCAGCCUAGAGAAAGUUUAAAUUCAGAUUUAGAGGACUGCAAAGUUCGCGAGCCUCCUGGGAGAUUUCAUGCUGGACUCCCAGAGGCCACUCCCAGCGACUCUGAACCUCGCUGGUGUCAUCUUUCCUGUGGGCUCACCUGGGGCCAGCCUGUCAGCCACCUGGCCCUCAGUCAGCAGUCUUUAUUGAGAGGAGACCACACUGUGUACAGAGGCCUGCCCCAGUCCUUGGAAGUGGAAGUCACAGGUGGGGUGUUAGGAGGGAGACAACAGGAAAUGCUCAGUCAGUGCCCUGUCCAGAAUCUUCAAAGGCCAAUGCGUAUAUUCUAGGUGGAGUUGAGUGUGCAAGCUGACUCACCAUAGCAACCCGUUCUACUCUCUGGACCAGCACACUGUCCUGCCUCUGCACAGAGAGCCAGUCAUCUACAUAUUGGUGAUGUCAUCCAUCAGGAAAACACAGCAUGGAAUGGAGCCUCGGUGGAUGAAGAAGGGCCUUUUAGAUCUCACUGCAUGGGUCCUAGCUCAAAUAGCUAGCAGUAGAUAUUAGUUACAAUGGUCAGCAUAGACUUUCACUGAAUAGCUCAAGCCCCAUUCCUAAUGGCCCAUGUAUUGCCUAACCCAACAACACUCACUUUUCCUGGGUUUGCAGCCCAUGCAGGGGUUUUCACAGUGGGAGAAUUUCCAUGCUCUUUCAUAAGUAGAAGCCCAUUCCUAUUCUUUAAAUCUUCAGUCACAGCCCUAAAAGAAGGACCAGAAAAUGGCAGUCAAAGGGUGGGAAGAUGCCUGGAAUAGCGCAUCUUGAUGAAUUGGCUCUCUCUGCCUAUCAGACAGAGGGUGCUUUGCUGUGUCAUUGUCCCAACCAGUGUAAAUGAUAGACAGGUUGACAUCUGUCCCAUUAUUUCCUGAGUCAGAGAUACUUAGAGACAAUUGAGUGGGUCUGAAUGCUCUUAGUGCAGGGUGAUAUGGAGGAAGGAACCAUGGACUUUUUUAAAAUGAGUAUUAGUUAUUUUAGUUUGCAACAUCUGCGACAUUAUGUUUAUAUUAUUUACAAAAUUGUUAAAUAUUUAAAAAUAGUUAAUAUAUAAAAUUAUUAUAUUAUAUAUUGUAAUAUAUAAAAUUAUUAAAUAUUAUAUUAUGAUAUUAUGAAAUAUCAUAUGUAAAUAUCAAUCAUUUCACUUUGCUAAUACCUGUAUUUUGAAGUAUUUUCCAUAUACAUACUUACCUAUGUUCAUUCAUUCAUUCAUUCAUUCAUUCAUUCAUUCAUUUGUUCGUUCAUUCAUUUAUGUGGGUGACACACUUCGGCAUGUGUGUGUAGAUUUGGAGGGAGAGUGAGGGAUUCACUUCUCUCUCUUCACACUGGUAU